CAACAAGGCCACGGGCCCCCGAAGCUCCGGCGGAAGGGGCACCGGCCUGACUUAUAUACCCACCCUUUGCCUAUGUGUACCUCUAUCGCUUCCCCGGCGGGUUCGCCCGCCGCCAGGAACCCACGCCAACCUUUGCAUUAUACAUCAACACUUCUGAUACCCACCAAAACUAUUA
rnacentral:misc_RNA from 1 species